AAAGGUGCUAAGAUGUAACUCUUAUUGUCCAUAGAAUUUGCUGUUAACCACUUGCAAGAUACAAAUGACGGCCAGCUGGAUGAAUAGGAGAAUGUAUGUGAACACCCGGAACUGACAGACCCGGCACGGUGCAUGUGGCUUGAAGUGGGCACUGAGAGAAAGCUCAGACAAUGUAUAUACAUGCUAUUAACAUUCACAUUAAUUUCCACUGGGACACGACUUAAUUAAGUUCAGGAACGCAUGCAAGUGUACUGUUCUUAUUAGAGGCACGGUCUGGAGAAGAUGGCCGGGGAGCUGAGCAUCAUUUCUACAUCAGCUGCUGAAGCGCCCACUAACUUUGGAUGUCGCCUAAACCUUCAGAUGGAAUCCUUGCAGGCAUUCCCGUGGGGAUCGGGAAAUUGCAGUAUGCCGGAACUACCGUUGCUGAUGUGGGGCGAGCGCUCUGAAGUGCACUUGGAGAAGAACGCAUUCCAACCCCGCAUAUAUGAAAAGUUUAAUAUUUUAGACAGCUAGAUGAAAUGCUGGGGUCUUGGUGCAUUUUGCUUUGGCGGUCCAGGCUUUUCAGCAUCUUAGGGAAAUGUUUGGAAAUGAAUUUUAUUUUCACAACUGUGGUACAAUUACAAGGCGGGGAUGUUUCACCCUUCUCACCGAGGUGCCCUUGGUGGUGGUGGUCUGUAAAUGGCUAUAGAACUGACAGAGAAGUCUGCAAGCAUUUUCUUCGGUUCUGAUUUUUAUUCUUAUUUGUUUUAACAGAGAGAUAAAAACCAGCAUUGUGCAUGUCCUUGCUCUGCGGGUUGGGGAUGUAUCGUUGUUGUUGUCGUUGUUUUCCUGGGAAGUAAAACAGGGUAUGAUAUUGGUAAUAAGGGCAAGUGGAUUUAUUGCUGAGCGAGUUGUACGCUGUUUGACAGAAAAUUCCUGAACUGAUCGGUGUUGGUGGAAGUUGGGGCUGCCUCCCGAUGUUUCCUGAGCCUUCUAUUUAGUUUGGAGUUCUGGGAAGUAUUUGUGGGCUUAAUCCAUUUACGCUUUUGAUAGGUAAAUGCAAGCCAUGAGUUACGGUAAAUUAUUGCUAAGAAAAGAUGAAUGGAAGAAUGGAUGUUUCAUUUUACUAUAUAUGCUGGGAAAGGUUGUUCUUUCUUUCAGCGUAUAACUCUGCUUUUCCUCGUACAACCUAUUUACAGGGUCAGACUUCUUAAUUUAUUUAUUUUUUUGUUUCUGUAUUUACUGUAAUUAAAGCCAAAGCAGACAACACUUCUUCAGUCUUCUGCAUUUACUGAGUGCCUUUAGCAAACACGCUGCAAGGCAUAGCCGUUAGAUGAGCAUUUCCAACCAUGGUGUGUAAAUGAGUUAUAAAAUACAAGCAACUCUAUAAAACAAGAAAAUCCUGAGUUAACAAAUAAAUGGUGUCCUUCCUAUAUCACGUAUAAGCUUUUUUCAUCCUUCUCGUAGGGUGGUAUGGUAUCUCGGAGCUCAAAAGGGAUUUUCGCUGUAGGGUCAGAGAUGGAAGGUGUCACAGUGAAGAACUCCUUCAAAU
rnacentral:lncRNA from 1 species